ensembl:lncRNA CEDORA CDH13 antisense oligodendrocyte and neuron associated lncRNA
UCUCUCUCCCUUAUUGUAGCCUUGAAUAAAGGCUUUGCCUUUCAAACUCUGUCCUGCCCAUUUUUCUUUGACAUGUUCAGAUGUUGGCAAGGCUGAAAACUGCAGGGGAUCUGGUUGUGAUAAUCCAGGUACAUGCCCCAAGGAAAUGAGGCUACAUGAGGACACAGCAAGAAGGUGGCUGUCUGCAAGCCAGAAAGAGAGCCCUCCCCAGAGACUGAACCAGCUAGAACCAUGAUCUUGGACUUCCAGCCUCCAGAACUGUUAUUCUAGGUCGACUUCCGUGUCUGGAUGUAACCAAAUCACCAGCCAGACCGUGACCAGGACACAUCAUACCGCUUGCCCCCGGCAGAGAUCCUGUGCCCACAUGUGAUAAGCUCCCAGGAGACCACAAGCUACUUGGAGGUAGGACCAAGUGGUGUACAUAACGACCAGACAGCCACAAAGAGUCCCUUGCUCAGACAGGUGUUCAGCAACUCUUCCCAGAGCAAAACAUGCCUGUCUUGCCCACUGCGGAGUAACUGCAAGGCAGCGCACUGCUCCUCUGGGGUCUCAGACCCAAUGGCAGCCUUACAAGAAUAAACUCAAGCUGUUUUAAAAAAUAUUUUUAAACAGCAAACCUCUCCUCUCUAAAUGACAUUUAAUUGCUUCAAAGAUCAAGAGAAGGCAACUUCUUUGUGGCUGGGCGUGCAAACAACCUGCGUUCUUCAGGGCUCUGGGUAUGGGUUACAAGAUUCAUCGUGACUCAAUUCUCCAAUCCACUGAGUUUUGGAGGACACAGGCAGUGUGUCACUGCAGAUGGACUGCCAACCCCCAAUUAAACUGUUCUGGAUGGCUACUGGUGGUGACCUUCAGGUGACAUUGGUCAAGCCUCAAAGGAGUGUGGCCACCCAACCCUAGCAGAGUUUGAGUGUGCCAGGUGCUCAUUACUGAACCCACUUCUCAGUCUACAUCAAACAACCAUGCUGGCCAGAAAUGGUGUGCUGAGUUCUGACGAUACAGAAACACCACACUACUGAUGAUACAGGUGCAUACAUGAAACCUCCUGGUGGCAGGAAGACUCGUUCCUGAGGGCCUGAUGGCUCCCACACCGAGGAAUGCUCUGCCAGAGGCCAGUCCAUUUCAGGCACAGUUAUAACCCACUCCAUAAAGGUUGUGCCAGGGAGAAAAUUAUGACAGGACCUUGCUUGAAAGAAGAGGCAGUCACAAGGCCCCAUGGGGCUUACCUUCCAGGAUGGACUGGCCCUGGGUUUGGGAUUGCAUCAAUUUCAUUUCUGGCUCUCAUGAGUCGGAUUCCCUCUUUUCUCAGAGUAUGGAAGCCAGUGGAGCGUGGCAAAGGUGUCUGGCACCCUGUCUUUGCUGCUUCCUGUGAAAACGAGAUGGUCUGCCUGAAAUGAUACAUUGGCUGUUUCAUUUCUGGGCUCCCCUUGUGUCUUUUUUUUUUAAAGACAGAGACGGGGUCUCACUAUGUUGCCCAGGCUGUCCUCGAACUCCUACGCUCAAGGAAUCUUCCUGCCUCAGCCUCCCAAAGAGCAGGAUUAUGAACGUGAGCCAUUACGCCCAACUUCCCCUAAUCUCUUGUGCUUGGCAUAAUGCUGGUAUGCAGUAGGUGCUCAAUAAAUGCU